GGACUACUCGGGUUUCUAAUCCCGUUCGCUCCCCUAGCUUUCGCCCCUCAGCGUCAGGUCAGAGCCAGGACAGUGCCUUCGCCUUUGGUGUUCCUCCGGAUAUCUACGCAUUUCACCACUCCACCCGGAAUUCCCUGUCCCUCUCUCUGCCUCAAGUCACGUCGUCUUCAGCCACCCCUGUGCGUUAAGCGCACAAUUGUCAGGCUGAACUGGCGUGACCGCCUGCGGGCCCUUUACGCCCAGUAACUCCGGACAACGCUCGCCCCCUACGUAUUACCGCGGCUGCUGGCAC
rnacentral:rRNA from 1 species